AAUCAACGCUGGCGGCGUGCCUAACACAUGCAAGUCGAGCGAGAAAGGGCUUCGGCCCUGAGUAAAGCGGCGCACGGGUGAGUAACACGUGGGUAAUCUGCCCGUAGAGUGGGGAAUAACAUCGGGAAACCGAUGCUAAUACCGCAUACGAUCAUGGAGUCUUCGGAUUUUGUGAUGAAAGGAAAGGAGCAAUCCAAUCCGCUCUUGGAGGAGCCCGCGGCUGAUUAGCGUAGUUGGUAAGGUAAUGGCGUUACCAAGGCAACGAUCAGUAUCCGGUCUGAGAGGACGGUCGGACACACUGGAACUGA
rnacentral:rRNA from 1 species